CCCUAUUAUAGUUUAAGGUUUAAAUUAGUAAAAUUUUGAAAAUUAAAAAUUUUGGCGGCUAUUUAUUAAUUAGAGGAGCUUGUUUUUGAUAGAAUUAACUCUUUAAAUUUUAUAUAUAAAGGCUUAUUCAUCUCCGUUAGUCAGAUAAAAUUGAACAAAGAUUAUUCUAUAAUUUCAGGUCAAGAUGUAGCAUUUGUUUCUUGGAAUUAGCUACAUUUAUAAAAUGAAUGGAUUUUUAACUUAUAAUAGUAAAAUAAAAUUGAAUUUAAUUGUAGCAGAAAUUAGAAAAUUAAUGUGAAUUGUGUUAAUUAGUGUA
rnacentral:rRNA from 1 species